UCGUGUCCUUCUCGAAAAACCGGAAGCCAUAUCGUCGUUGGAUUAGGGAUACGCAACACCAAAAUUACUCGCAGCGAUUGCUAUCAUUAUGGGAGCAACGGUUAUCUUGAAGCUCUAUUUCAGUAUUUAUACCCGUUAGUUCCUAAUUUAUUAACUCAACUGAUUCUGCUACUGAAACCAUCACAGCCGUUAAUCAGGAAUGGCUAGAAACCAGAAUCAUGAUGAUGAUGCAUCGUCAUCUAGCAGGAAGAGGAGGGUCGAGAUUUGUGACAACAAUGGUGCAACACCUUGGUCAGGGCUUAACCAUGAUGUGUUGUUGUUAGUUAUGAUGCAACUGAAUGUCGUUGAUUUUGUUGCAUUGAGUGGAGUUUGCAAGUCAUGGAGAUCAUUUGCACUCAGGUUUUUGGCAUCCAGACCACCCAUGUUGAUAAGGAUCUCUAAUCAUCCUUAUACGAAAGAGUGCUACUGCCACCCGGAGGAUAUUGAAGGAAGAAAAUUCAAAACCCUCCUUCCCCAUUCUGCUGACACUAAAUGUAUUGGAUUAACUUGUGGUUACUUGAUCUUGUUAAGUUGGAAAACCGAUGACUACUAGCUUGUGAAUCCUAUCACAAUGGAUCAACUACAUUUCCCUGCUAUCCCUAUUUUAGAAAAUCUUGUCCUA